ensembl:lncRNA
GUGGAGAAGGCAAUGGCACCCCACUCCAGUACUCUUGCCUGGAAAAUCCCAUGGGUGGAGGAGCCUGGUAGGCUGCAGUCAGUCCAUGGGGUCGCUAAGAGUCGAACACGACUGAGCGACUUCCCUUUCACUCUUCACUUUCAUGCAUUGGAGAAGGAAAUGGCAACCCACUCCAGUAUUCUUUUCUGGAGAAUCCCAGUGACGAGGGAGCCUGAUGGGCUGCCCUCUAUGGGGUCGCACAGAGUCGGGCACGACUGACUGAGCAGCAGUAGCAGCAGAAGUUGACGAUUUGAUCUCUGGUUCCUCUGGCUUUGCUAAAUCCAGCUUGAACAUCUGGAAGCUCACAGUUCACAUACUGUUGAAGCCUGGCUUGGAGAAUUUUGAGCAUUACUUUGCUAAUGUGUGAGAUGUGUGCAAUUGUGUGGUAGUUUGAGCAUUCUUUGGCAUUGCCUUUCUUUGGGAUUGGAAGGAAAUCUGACCUCUUCUAGUCCUGUGGCCACUGCUGAGGUUUCCAAAUUUGCUAGCAUAUUGGGAACAGCACUUUCAGAGCAUCAUCAUUUAGGAUUUCAAACAGCUCAGUUGGAAUUCCAUCACCUCCAUUAGCUUUGUUUGUAGCAAUGCUUCCUAAGGCCCACUUGACUUCGCAUUCCAGGAUGUCUGGCUCUAGGUGGAUGCUGAUAGAAGCCCUAAUUAUGAUUGAAACCAGCAACACAGCCAAAGCCUUCAUCAUGGGCAGGAGGUACCUCAUGUGGCUCAUAACUUCACCUUGUUGGGAUAUCUGUAUCCUAAGGAAGAGCGUAGCUUCAGCCUGAAAAGCCCAGGUCUAGAAGUCAAUCACUUUGACUGUAACAUUAAUGAUGGAUAAAGUCUCCUAAUCCAAAGCUUCGAACAGAGCCUGAGACAAGAAUUUAAUGCCGACAGUGCAAAGUGAGGAAGGAAUGGGUAGCGUGGAGGGAAGAAAUGCAACCUUAAGGACCCACUGAACUCCUGACAAAAUACACCUUUACUUUUCUUUCCCUUUACCUAAGUUUCUAUUUUUCUAAGGUUUCCUUGAGUCUCCUUUGAGCAUUUUCUGAGGCACUUCACAUCUUACAACUAUAAAAACAAUACAGA